ACCCGAUAUUUAAAUGUAUUGAAAACCUAAUUCUCUAUCUCUUCACACGGCUCUGCUUCCUUCUGACCUAAAUCCUUCAGCAGCAUCUAUAUGAUCUCUCCAUCUGAUCGAUCUAUCUGCAAAUGGUCCAUGAUCUUAUUGCUCUUGAUCCUCGGUGUCGAUUUCAGGGUUUUAGGUCUGCUCAGAUGAUGAAGGAGAUGAAGAUGACGACGAUAUUUGCCACCUGCGUCAAUUUAGGAUUCCAUAUUUUCAACUCUUCAGUUUCGUCAUUCUAGGGUUUCAAGUUUGCACCUCUUAUUGGGAUUUCACUGAUUUAGUCCUGAUGAAGAAACAUCAAUGGGAUUAGUUCAGCAAGAAGGUGGUCGUGUGGUGUAUUAGCAGCUAUACAAAUCCGGCAGCGGUGUCGGUGGCUAUGACUUUGGUAAUUACUAGGUUACCCAUUUCACUUCUUUCUCAUGUCAAAGGUAUUAUUUUUUUUAUUUUGCUGAAGUUUCAUAUUUUAUUUUGAGCAUUUAAUUGGUGUAUAAAACUUGAAUUUAUUUCUGUGCUAUUAGUUUGUUGUUUUGAGUCGAUUAUCUGGUGAUUUGCGGCAUUGUUGCUUCUGCUGUGCACAUAUAAAACAUGUCUACACAGGUUGUUAUAACAACAUGAUGUUAUUGAGAGUUAGUAACUGCUUCUCUAACUUGUACGUUAAUUAGUUCACCUGUUUGUCACACCCGCAUAAGAUUCUGACAGAGAGAAGAUCAAAGAUGCACACCAUGAGAAAACAUUAAGGUUUAAGCCCGUCUCUUAUCACAGGCUUUACUUGCUUAUUCGCAUUUACGGGUGUUGGAGCAAUAUUCAUAUAUGCACAAAUGGUUAAUCAAUUUGGAAAUUUAAAGGGUGAUAUUCUGUUUAUGCGUAUGAGCAAGGACCCGAUUUGCAUAGGAGAUAUUUUAUCGUUCACUGUUGAUGUGAGUUUCUUAAUUGAAUUCUUUCUUUCAGUCUUUCAUUCAGUUUAGUAUGUAAGCUUUUAUUGAAGUUAUUAAAGUAUAUUAAAAGUGCUUCGAUCAUCAACUUUGUUUGAAGAUAUUGUUUUGUUCUUUGGUGCAUAAACGUGUAUGACCGGACACGCUAACGCUAACCGGCUCACACCAGGCCGCCCCAGGCCCAACGUGUGAGAGGUAAGUCAGCCUCACUCAAUGGCAAGGCUAUUGGCGCUUACGAUCGUAAUCGAACCCGCGACCUUUAGCUUUUGGUGCAAAUCUGACGCCCCUUAACCAUGAUGAAAACGACAGUUGAAGGUUUAGAAGGAUCAGCUAACCAACUAUCAUGUGUGAUGAAGUUUUGUGGAUCUUCGGUUGCAUCGGUAGAUAGAAUGAAAGAAGUAGCUGAGCUUAUCCUCAGCUUUCCAGGAGAAUCAUGUGAUAGUUUUGUCUGAUAUGGGCAAAACUACGAACAAGCAUAUAGCGAUUUGUGCAAUCAUUUAUAUAUAUUAAAUUGAUAUUUUAUCUCUUUUUACAAGAAGGUUUAAAGUUAAAUAUUUGUUGUAUUAUAAAGGCUAGAGAAAACGCUGCAAGUUGUAUUUCGGAUGUGUCUGAAAUCGAUGAGUCGAGUUUUGUGAAAGAACUGCACUACAGACAGAUCAAUCAUUAUAGGCAGGAAGACUAUUGAUUGAUAAAACAAUCCGUGAAGAGUUUACAUGUUUAAGGCAUCAGGGGGUGGGGAAAGGCAUCGGCAAGACAAAUUAUAGUUGAGAUUUAUCUUACACGCUGGGGCUUUCAAGAAGAGAGAUAAUGAGCUACAAGUUCGGGAAGCUGACCUGUGAAAGAGAGAAAAGUUUAACAAAUUUUGUGUUGAACGUGUUGAGCUCAAGCUUUGGAUAUAAGAUGAUAACGAAUUGGAUUAUGAUUCUGAUAACAGUUUCAUCGUUGUUUGUGGAUUUUGAAUUUACGAUCACGGCCUUCCUAAUUCGUACUCUAAUUCGCAUUGAACCACUCAUGGCCUCCUGCCGUUCUACUCAGAAUCCUCACACAUUUAAGAAGCCAGUUAAAUGUUCUUCGGACAAACAGAGGAAUUUAUAUAAUGUACUUUAUUUGCAUUACUUUUAUUUAUACACUUAUGAUAAUGUAAUUUAAGUUUGAGUGUUAGGAAUUAGCAGCUUUGAACUAGGGAAAUUAUGAUCUUUUUCCAUUCAUAUAUGUUAAUUCCUUUUGUAUUUCACCUCUUUUCACAAUACACUAGAGAUAGACGGUAGAAUAAUGAAAGGAAUGUGAGUGUUGUAAUGCUACAAACUUGAAAAAUUAAUAGAGAGGAUUGAAAGAAGCUUUGUUACUUUUA